UACGGAGGGUGCAAGCAUUAAUCGGAUUUAUUGGGCGUAAAGGGCGCGUAGGCGGGCGACUAAGUCAGAUGUGAAAUCCCGGGGCUCAACCCCGGAACUGCAUUUGAUACUGGUCAUCUUGAGGCUAGACGGAGGAAAUGGAAUUCCACAAGUAGCGGUGAAAUGCGUAGAUAUGUGGAGGAACACCGGUGGCGAAGGCGAUUUCCUAGUUUAGAACUGACGCUGAGGCGCGAAAGCAAGGGGAGCAAACAGG
rnacentral:rRNA from 1 species